AUAUAGAUAAAUAUAAUUACAUAGAAUUUAAAUACAUAUAUGUAUGUUAAAAUUCUACGUGUAUAUUUAAGUAAUCUUUUAACAUAAUUAUGUGAUUUAAUUAAUUAGAAUUUGAUUGACGUGCCUGACAACUCAGGCAGAAGUGCAGAGAAUUUAAUUCGCACACACUAUAUUUAAUCCUGUAUCUUUCCAAGACACCAUAAAACCUGUACAUGGGGGGUACUGUUUUACUUGGGAGACUUUGCUGAACACAAAUAUUAGUGUUUCAAACUGGUAACUUGUAUUACAACGAUGAUAUAUUUAGUAACAGUAAAGUUUUUUGCAUUUUUCACACAUGAAGGGCACUUUUACUGAAGAUAUUACUGUUGUAAUAUGUUUUACUGUUUUGAAACACUUAUGUUUGUGUUCAGUGAAGCCUCACAAGUGUAACAGUACCCCCUAUUUACAGGUUUUAUGGUGUUUUGGAAAGUUAUAGAGUCAAAUAUAAGGCUUGCAUUUCAUUUUUUUCACAUUGAAUUUUGCCAGAUUGGUUACGUUGCCUUUGAGACCAUAUGGUAGCCCAGGAAUGAGAAUUACCCCCAUGAUGGCAUACCAUUUGCAAAAGUAGACAACCCAAGGUAUUGCAAAUGGGGUAUGUCCAGUCAUUUUUAGUAGCCACUUAGUCACAAACACUGGCCAAAUAUUUUUUUUUUUGCUUUUUUCACACAAAAACAAAAAUGAACGCUAACUUUGGCCAGUGUUUGUGACUAAGUGGCUACUAAAAAAAGACUGGACAUACCCCACUUGCUAUACCUUGGGUUGUCUACUUUGGCAGAUGGAAUGCCAUCAUGGGGGUAUAGCAAUUUGAGCAAGUUGGCCUAUCAUUGAAAAAAAAUACAUAGUACACAUAAUACUUUAUAGUUAGUUUCUCUAUUUGUUACAGUAUCAAGUUCAUGCUACAGUAAGAGGAGACACUCCGAGCUGUUGAUUUAGACUAUUUCCUAAAUUAGAUUUAGAUUACUGUCCCCUAAUAACAAAUUGUUACAUUUGGGGGAUUGUGGGCUACCACAUGGUCUCAAAGGUAACAUUACUAAUCUGGUAAAUUUCAAUUUGAAAAAAUUGAAAAAUGGAAUGUGCUAUAUUUGACCCUGUUACUUUAUUAAAGCUAACAGUAUUGUGAC